AACCGCGCAUUGAAACACGGUAGAGAUUCCUUUUAAUAAUUUUCUUGUUCUACCUUACAAACUCUAUCGCAUUACGACGCCGCCACCGCUGUAAGGGGCUAAAUCUAUCGCGCUAUGACACCAUAUCAUCGUUAAGGUUACGUUAGAACAGUUGGAAGCCGCCAUAUCCAACGAGAGGGUGUUUGAAUUGCGUUUGCAUUUGAAUCUUACGUUAAUUAAUAUGGAAGAAACCAAAAAUUUACUUUCAGAAUAUUGUGCCCGAUUUAAUGCUAAGUUAAUUCAAUUUGAAUUUGCUGAAGAUUUUAAAUAUACGUGUACAAUACGUGUCGACUAUAAUUAUAAAAACGGACAGGCACAAACAUUUUGUGACAAGAUCGUAGAAGAUUUUGGAGAAUAUACGUCAACUAACUGGAUUGUUCGAUAUUCAUAUCCGAACGUUUAGCGUUUAAUAUAAACGAAAAGUGUAUGUAUGCCAGCAUAGUUCCCUUGGGAAAGUAGUUAAACGAAAACGAAACGAUACAAGACAACGUAAUAAAAACUGUGAGGCCAAAAUCAAUGUAAAAAUUUAAAAAACUACUAGAAAUAGCAUAAGACGAGAUAGUUUGUUGAAAGAAGAGUUAAAUACCAUUAUCACGGUCACAUUUGAACACAGUCAUCGAAUGAAUGUGGCUGAAGCAUAUAGCUAUUUACGAAUCACAGAAGACGUUGAAAAAGCGUUUUAAAAAUAUUUUGAUGAAGGAAUGAGUCCAAAAGCAGCUAAAGCAUUUUACGAAUUGUCCCUAAUGCAAAAUUUAAGGUUUCAAGAAACAUUGGCUAACGCUAUAAAAUAAAUCCAAGCGAUCGGCAAAUCAGAUAUUUAUACGACAAAUGGAGAACUGUAAAUUUUGGAACUCGUGUUGAGGAAAGCUUAUAUGAAGUAAUUAAGAAAAAGAAAAACCUACUUGAAGCUAGUGGAGGAGAAAUAAUAGUAAAAGAUAAUCCACUUAUAUUUAUGAUUAUUACUCCGAUAAUGAAGCGGGCGUAUUCACAUGAAUUUUCAAAAGAAAGGUUUUUGUUGAUUCAAGUGGUUCAUGUGACCAGACGAACACUUGUGUUACUUUUAUGUAUGCUGCCUUGAAAAUAGGCGCAAUUCCAUUGGCAUGUAUAUUGCACACAGCACAAACUAAAAGCAACUAUACGCUAGCUUUUAAAACUUUAAAAGACCAUCUUGGUUCUACUGGGUUUGGAGGCUCAGGUUACCCAUUGCUAUUUAUGACGGACGAUAGUAGCAGUGAACGCAAUGCAUUAGGUGCAAUUUUUCCACAAUCUCAUUUACUUCUCUGUUCAUUUCACUUUACCCAAGCAUUUUGGAGAUGGCUUUGGGCAUCUGAGAAUGGAAUUGCCAAAGAACAUAGAAAGGAAAUUAUGAAAAUGUUCCAGUCUGUAAUUUAUUCCUCUUGUAUUGAAGAAGCUGAAUCGCAGCGCGACAACAUGCUGUCUGAUAAUCGAUGCAAGAAAUAUUCCCUCCUUUUGAAUCAUAUUUCUUCACUAUGGAAGCGAAAGACAGAAUGGUAUCUAUGCUUUAGAAAAGAUGUUUUUACGAGAGGUAAUAAUACAAAUAACUUUGUAGAAGCCUCUAUACGGGUAUUCAAAGAUAUUGUUCUUCAGAGGUGUAAAGCAUUUAAUGCAUGUGCAAUGGUAGAUUUCAUCUUCACCGUUUUUGAAACGUAUCACAAGAGGCAUUUACUAGAGUUUGCCGACUCAAGGCGAAAUUGAUCAAAAUUUCCAUAUUUAGAUUUUUCCAGAAAAACUAAAAAUCUAAACGUUUAUAAAGUAGAUGAUCGAACUUUUCAUGUCUGUUCAGGUAAAGAUAAGCAACUCUUUUAUAUAGUUUAUACAGAUGUAGCAUUAUGUGAUUGUCAUUUUGACGUAGGAGGACGGUUUUGCAAACAUCUUUGCGCAGUUCAGGAACAGUUUUCGGUACUAAUUGAUACUUCGCCUCUAUUGAGCUACACAGACAGGGUAGCGUCGGCAAAACUAGCAUUAGGGAGUGAAAUUUCUGAGACGUUCUAUGAUGACAUGGAUGCAUUAACUCCGAUUGAAUCUGAUCCAAUUAAAAAUAAAUUUCAUAAUUUACCAAUGAUGAAUUUAGAAACAAAUAUGGUCGAAUCCGAGCAAGUAAAUUCAUCCAACAAAUUGAUGGAAGAACGACAUGCAGAAGAAGUUCUUAAUUUAAAAACGAAUCUUCUAAAUAUUACAGAAAUAGCAUUAAAAAAUCCCAACCUCGAGCUUACUAAUGAAAUACGUAAAGUUAACACCAUUUUUAAAAAUUUAACUACUGCCACACAAGUGCAAUCAUUCAUUUAUCAAUUGGCAGGCAAAAGAAGUGUCUUAGGUCAGCGUGGUCGACAAAUUGGGGUACAACCGACUUCCAAAGCCAGGAGAAAAAUACGGCCAGGCCUAACUUCUGGUUGCAAAAGGCUGCAAUCUGAUAGACCUGCUAAAUCCGAGGCAAAUCCAAUUCACUCUAAAAAGAAACGAAACCUGAUGUCAAAUAUUAACAAAAAUACUCCAAAUGCCAAGUCUCAUUAAAUAAUGUAUUUUUUUUUAUUUACCUACUUUCAUGUUUUAUGCUUAUAUUUUAUGUUCCUGUUGUAAAAAAUUAUAAAUAAAAUUUAAUCCUAUUUCUUUAUAAUA